rnacentral:lncRNA from 1 species
UAUCUAUUGACCUAAUACGUUUUGUGAUCCAAGCCUCCUCUUUCUUAGGCGUUCUGCAAUAAUGAAGGCGAGCUCAAGGGAUUGAGAUGCAUUGAGCCUAGGAUCACAGUGGGUGUGGUAACGUGAGCUCAGAUCAUCAAAGGUCACAGUUCGUGAUCCACCAAUGCACUCUGUGACGUUUUGGCCUGUCAUCUCCAGGUGUACUCCUCCUGGGUGGCUUCCUUCUUGCUCAUGAACAUCAAAGAAUGCUCUUACUUCAGCCUGUUACAACAAGAGAGCCAUGUUCUUCGUGUUAAUGAUGUAACAUACUUGCAAAGAGCAACGUGGGACCUCAAACAUUCAAUCAAUCUUUUUUGUUUUUUUUUGGGGGGGUAAUUAAAAGAAUAAAGCCACCAGACAUCUUGGUCCUGAUAAUCAAACUCAUUGAAAGAGACAUGCAACAACCAAACCUACUAAAGUAGUUGCACACGUUAUAUAAAUAAAAAUAUAUUCUAUUUGACUGAUUCACUGAAGAAAAAGCUUUACAAGCUCCACGUUACUCGUCUCUCCUACCAAUCAGCACGCUCACUUUCUUGGUCUUGGUCUUGCCAAGAAAUACCUACUAUACUUCCAGUGAACUACCCAUGUUCUCUCAUCAUCUAUGGUGGAGCAUUUAGUAGUCCCCAACGAAAAGACUCUAUUAAAUGACUAAUUGUUUUUUGGUGGUAACUUUCAUUUUCUUGGUCCUACUCUUGCCAAGAAAUAACUACUAUUCUUUCUGUGAACUACCGAUUGUCUCACCAUCUAUGGUUGGAAGACUCAUAUCAUUCAGCUUAUAAAAAAGGAUGAGGGUAGUUCAAAGAGUGGACCCAUUGAGCAACUCCCCAGAUAUAAAGAAUCUAACUUAUUAUAACAAUAACUUUGAUUUUCUGUGCGACUUUCAAUGAAUUAUGAGGAGGCACCGCGUUAUAGGAUGCAAUUACUGAUCAUGUAGAUAUGCAAUUACUCUUAAGAGAUAUUUUAAGAAUUUAGUGAAUUCAACGUUGGUUUUGAGGAAUUAAGGAUUUCUGAACCUGUCACGAGAACUUACCCUGAUGGAAUCAAAAGGUCGAGUUUUUAGACCGCAAGGAGCUUUGAUGGUAUUCCCAUGCAUAGGAUCAGAUACCCAAGUGACGAUUUGCCCUGCUCUUCGGACUGCUCUGAUAAGAUGAGGAAGCUUAACCCUCAUGUUCUCUGCUCCCAUUCUGGUAAUUAUU